GGCACUCCCGGCUGGGCGGAUGGUAACUGUUAUGGCGGUGUGUAGGUUAAUCUGCUGCCAUCCUACAUUAUUGAUAAGUUAUCAGAAGUUAACACCUCCCAGGUUUCCUUCAGAGAAAGAACUUGGUUAAUGUGUGCGGGUUUUGUUGAGUGAAAGUUGUUUAAAGCCUCUUAUUUUCCACCGGAAACGACCAUCAGCGUGUUUUCUCCAGCUAAAGAUGGCGCCGCAGUUUCCAUGACGACGGAGCGGCAGCAGCUGAGGAGAAGCUGAAGUUGAGACGGAAGAAGUCCAGGCCGACUGAUGGACCUCCUGCUGGGUCCGGGUUCUGCUGGGUCCUGAAGCUGGAUGAGACGUGGCUGCAGCUGAUCGUUCUCUGCUUCUUCAUUUUCUCCAACUAAAGAAUCUUUAGACUGAAAGAAGUUCCUGUUAAUUCACUGAUUAAAGGUCAGAGGAUGUUUGAUCUGCUGCUGCGCUGCAGGACUGACCUGAAAU